GGAGGGUAUAGCUCAGCGGUAGAGUGCAUGCUUAGCAUGCAUGAGGUCCUGGGUUCAAUCCCCAGUUCCUCCA
rnacentral:tRNA from 1 species